UACGUAGGGUGCGAGCGUUAAUCGGAAUUACUGGGCGUAAAGCGUGCGCAGGCGGUUUUGUAAGUCUGACGUGAAAUCCCCGGGCUUAACCUGGGAAUUGCGUUGGAGACUGCAAGGCUGGAGUGUGGCAGAGGGGGGUGGAAUUCCGCGUGUAGCAGUGAAAUGCGUAGAGAUGCGGAGGAACACCGAUGGCGAAGGCAGCCCCCUGGGCUGACACUGACGCUCAGGCACGAAAGCGUGGGGAGCAAACAGG
rnacentral:rRNA from 1 species